GCAAUAACAGGUCUGUGAAAGUAUCAACGUGUAUUUCCUAGACCGAGAGGUCCGGGUAAACCUCUGAACCACGUCCAUGCUUGGGACUGUGAACUGAAACUUUUCACAUGAACUUGGAAUUUCCAGUAAGUGUGAGUCAUUAACUCGCAUUGAUUACGUCCCUGC
rnacentral:ncRNA from 1 species